rnacentral:rRNA from 1 species
UGCGCAGGUGGGCUUGUAAGUCAGUGGUGAAAUACUGCCGCUUAACGGUAGAACUGCCAUUGAUACUGCGAGUCUUGAAUAUGGUUGAGGUAGGCGGAAUGUGUCGUGUAGCGGUGAAAUGCAUAGAUAUGACACAGAACGCCGAUUGCGAAGGCAGCUUACUAAGCCAUUAUUGACGCUGAGGCACGAAAGCGUGGGGAGCGAACAGGAUUAGAUACCCUGGUAGUCC